rnacentral:tRNA from 1 species
GGCAGUUUAGCUUAAUGAGAGAGUACUCAGCUGGUAUCCGAGGGAUAUGGAUUCAAGUCCCAUAGUUGUAU